UCCCUGGUGGUCCAGUGGUUAGGACUCCGCAUUUGCACUGCUGAGGUCCCGGGUUCAAUCCCCGGUCCGGGAA